CUCCAUCUGACCACAGUGUCUCACCUGAGUUCAGUUCUCCUGCCUCCUUUAGUCUCUGUGCUCCACACUCCAUUGUUACUUCACAGGUCCACACACUUGGAUGAACAAGUGUUUCUGCACCUUGUUGUUUUCUAGUUUGGUCUUUAUGCUUUUUGGAUUCUUUUGGAGCAGACACCUGACGAGGGCGGGUGUGGAUCAGGAGGUAGAAAGGGCCGUACCCUAACCAGGAUCCCUGAGUCCACUACGGUUGAAGGGGUGUUUGAAGGACUAGAUGGCCACUACCCCUACAUCACAUAGAGAAAUGGAACAAGACGACCCCUUCACGGCCACGUGCAAAACAAAGGGGUACGGCCAAGUUGGGCUGAACGGGGACAGGGUCAAUGUCUCCUGCUUGUUGAUCUGCUGAUACUUCAUGUGUAGAGAUGAAGUGAAAAUGUGAAUCAUCUGCAAGUAGCGGCCUUCGUUUGUGUUUUAACCUCAUGGCAUGAAUGUUGCUCAGCUAACACCAUGUCCCGCCAAAUGGCUUGAGGUCAUCUCUCUUCGAACCGUCCAAUCAGAGGCUUUCAUCAGACGUCCUAACUUCCUGCUCCAUCCCUCAUCACCACCACCGCUGUCCAGACUCCAUAUCCAAGGCACCUAAUUCUCAAAACUGCUUCCAUGGUGUACAAAAAAUGUAUUCUACUGUUUACGACAAAUUUGAUUUGAUUUUUAUUUCCUUUAUUGUCUCUCCUGAUU